rnacentral:rRNA from 1 species
GCAUAUCAAUAAGCGGAGGAAAAGAAACCAACAGGGAUUGCCCCAGUAGCGGCGAGUGAAGCGGCAAGAGCUCAGAUUUGAAAUCGUGUUUCGGCACGAGUUGUAGAGUGUAGGCGGGAGUCUCUGUGGAGCGCGGUGUCCAAGUCCCUUGGAACAGGGUGCCUGAGAGGGUGAGAGCCCCGUAGGGUGCUGCGCGAAGCUUUUGAGGCCCUGCUGACGAGUCGAGUUGUUUGGGAAUGCAGCUCCAAGCGGGUGGUAAAUUCCAUCUAAGGCUAAAUAUUGGCGAGAGACCGAUAGCGAACAAGUACUGUGAAGGAAAGAUGAAAAGCACUUUGAAAAGAGAGUGAAACAGCACGUGAAAUUGUUGAAAGGGAAGGGUAUUGGGCUCGACAUGGGGGGUGCGCACCGCUGUCUCUUGUAGGCGGCGCUCUGGGCGCCCUCUGGGCCAGCAUCGGUUCCUGCUGCGGGAGAAGGGGCUCCGGAAAGUGGCUCUUCGGAGUGUUAUAGCCGGGGCCAGAUGCCGCGUGUGGGGACCGAGGACUGCGGC